rnacentral:rRNA from 1 species
AUUGAACGCUGGCGGCAGGCUUAACACAUGCAAGUCGAACGAGUGGCGGACGGGUGAGUAAUGCUUGGGAAUCUAGCUUAUGGAGAGGGAUAACUACGGGAAACUGUAGCUAAUACCGCGUACAAUAGGAUGAGCCCAAGUGGGAUUAGGUAGUUUGUGAUGGAAAGGCUAACAAAGCCGACGAUCUCUAGCGUGUCUGAGAGGAUGACCAGCCACACGGGGACUGGGACACGGCCCAGAUUCCUACGGGAGGCAGCAGUGGGGAAUAUUGCGCAAUGGGGGCAACCUGACGCAGCCAUGCCGCGUGAAUGAAGAAGGCCUUCUGGUUGUAAAGUUCUUUCGGUAGCGAGGCGUUAACUACAGAAGAAGCACCGGCUAACUCCGUGCCAGCAGCCGCGGUAAUUC